rnacentral:lncRNA from 1 species
ACAACAAGGAACCUAUAAAUAUUACUAUCUAAAGAGUAGCCAAUAAAAAUAGCAUCAAUAAUUUUAGGUCCUAUCUUAACUCUUUUUGAUUUAGGAAUCUCAACUUUAGCUAAGCAUCUCUAAACUUAGAAGUAACUAAGCCUAGAAAGAUAUCCUUUCCAAAAUACAUAGGGUGUCUUUUCUCUAUCCUUAGGUGGAACUCUAUUUAUGAUAUAUAUAGUAGGUUAAUAAAAGAGCUUCUCCCACA